rnacentral:rRNA from 1 species
GACGAACGCUGGCGGCGCGCUUAACACAUGCAAGUCGAACGGAAAGGCCCUGCUUUUUGGGGUGCUCGAGUGGCGAACGGGUGAGUAACACGUGAGUAACCUGCCCUUGACUUUGGGAUAACUUCAGGAAACUGGGGCUAAUACCGGAUAGGAGCUCCUGCUGCAUGGUGGGGGUUGGAAAGUUUCGGCGGUUGGGGAUGGACUCGCGGCUUAUCAGCUUGUUGGUGGGGUAGUGGCUUACCAAGGCUUUGACGGGUAGCCGGCCUGAGAGGGUGACCGGCCACAUUGGGACUGAGAUACGGCCCAGACUCCUACGGGAGGCAGCAGUGGGGAAUAUUGCACAAUGGGCGGAAGCCUGAUGCAGCAACGCCGCGUGCGGGAUGACGGCCUUCGGGUUGUAAACCGCUUUCGCCUGUGACGAAGCGUGAGUGACGGUAAUGGGUAAAGAAGCACCGGCUAACUACGUG